rnacentral:lncRNA from 1 species
ACUUAUUGAUCUAUAAUAUUAGCAUAUAGCAUUGAUCUAUCAUAAUUAAACGAAUCAUAGACUAUGCAAUAUCAUAAACAGCAAAUGAAUGGAAAAGGAUGGGAAAAUGGCGAUGAGAAAUGACAUUCAAGUUAUAGGGUUCUAUAAAACAGAGAAGGAAAUCAAAUUCAUUUCUCAAUUGCCUAGACAAAUUAUUUCAAGGCCAUCUUUUCUAUAUGUAAUGAGUUGCCAAAGCGUACUAAUUAUCUUAAAAGCAUGAAAAGGUUAAGUUCAGAUCAGUCUCUUGAAAUAUAUGCAUUGAAGAGCUCAAACUAGAGAAUUGCUUGACCAAGAACCAUAUUUAUUAGUAAUUCACGAUAAGGAUCAAGAAGAUACUUCUCUCAACGAGUCUAACGAAUGGAUUAGCAAUUAAGAUACUGCACUUCAUCUUUUUUCCUUAAACAUGGACAUGCCAUCCCAUUGAAUCAACUAUACUUAGGGUGCAUUUGAUCUAGAAUUUCCAUUACUACAAGAGAAACAAGGAAAAAGUUGGAAAUAUCCAUAAAUCCAUAGACACUUGAAAAGCGGAAAAAGAAUGAAUAUCUGUGGAAGCAACCAACUAUUUCUAAUGAUUCCGCAUUUUCACCAAUCUCGUCAGCUUGAAACCCAAAACAGAUUCUAUUUGUAAAACAUGUCCAAAUACCAUGCAAGAGGUAAUCUAGCAGACUAAUUGACAUGUCUGUACUGCAGAAAACAGAUAUUGAGGCAAGCAAAUUAACUCUGAAGUGUACCAUUUAAAUCAAUUGACAGUAACUAGGCUAUACACCUUGGCAAACUUCUUGCAUCAGAUUAAAAGAGAUGUGCUUGGGUUGGCGAUGGCUUAAACCUAGUGUCCUAGGAUAUCAAACAACAUGCCGUAAACAGGGCAUAUUUCAAGGCUUUUAAUACGGAUGGGCAAGUUCUCUCAUAGAGUUAUCGGCACUCUGGUGAUGUGAUUGAGAGAAGAUUUAUGGAUGACAUGUAUACUAAUACUGGUCUAGGAUGGGUUUCAAUCAGCUACAAUUUCCAAACAUCGCAUAUGAACCAUGCUUACUGUUAACAACAGUCUUAUUCUCUCUAUCAAGAAAAUAUGCAAUAAUUACGGCUGGUUUUUGAGUUUCACAAGGUGGAAAUUGAACAAGGUGGUCCUAUAUCUGCAAGGAGCAUCCCCUUGCUUGAUGUCGUAUUCAGAAAGGCAAUGAGCUACUUCAUGUUUUCCACAACACUUUUGACUUAUGAUCAGAUUAUUAAGAGCAGCAUACUUGAGCCUCUUCUUCUAAAACUAAUAAUUCCACAAAAAGACAUCAUCUGUAAUCUAGAUUAGCUACUCUAUGCACUGCUCCAAUCACAAUUAAACAGAUCUAUUUCACUAAGUUUUUAACUUUACGUCACCAAAGUUUGAGUAAAAGAUUGAUGAGUUCUGAACAAGCUUAGGAAACAUGAAAUGUCAGAUCAUGGCAGUGUCAGACAGAUGAAAAAUCAUACUGGAAACACAUGGUGACACCACAAUUUAGCAAGCACAAGUACUCAUUUAUGCAAGAAGAGACAAUCACAACUAAUAAACAAGAAAAUAGAUUUCUUUACCGAGUACAUUGCCCAUGGCACAUUAGAAAUUCGUCAUAGUUAAAUUAUCACAUUUCUUUUAAGAAGCUAUGCCUGUUAAAUAUUGGAAACGCAUGCCAUACACCUCAAUCUAGCAAGCACAAGCCCUCAUGUAUCCAAGAAGAGACAAUUGCAACUAAUAAACAAGAAAAGAGAUUUCUUAUCGAGUACAUUGCCCAUGGCAUAGCAGAAAGCAUAAAUUCCUCAUAGUUAAAGAAUCAUAAUUCUUCAGAUGCUAUUUACCGUUUUAAGAACAUUAGAGACAUCAAAGAAUCUCGCUGGAAUGAAAAAAAGCAAGGAAUAAGGGAUGAAACAGGGGGGAAUGGGAAAAGGAAAGAAAAAAAACUAAGGUUACCUUGUAGUACUUCCCAAAAAUGUUAAUUUUUUAGGGAAAAUUUAAAAGAUAAGCAAAUUUCUAACAAGUCACAUUGAUUUUAAAAAUGAAAGAAAACAAAGCAAGGAAAGGAAGAAAUAAUUUUAACUUAACUUCUUGACACUUCCGGAAACUCAAGUUAUCUAGAUUUGGACUUGGAAAAGAACAUAAAAAGUGGAAAAUUAGUUCCAAAAUUAGUUCCAUAAGCAUCCAUUUAAUUUCAUAGUUAUGUGUUGCAAUAUUCAAAGUGUGACAACAAACAGAAUUACUACGAAACCACAUCCAUCAUUAAUCAACAAUAGGAGUCAUAUAAACCUC